UAGGGAAUAUUGCGCAAUGGGGGAAACCCUGACGCAGCGACGCCGCGUGAAGGAUGAAGGCUUUCGAGUCGUAAACUUCUUUUGCAGUGGAAGAAACCUAUCGAUUCAAACAGGGUCGAUAGCUGACGGUACUCUGCGAAUAAGCGCCGGCCAACUACGUGCCAGCAGCCGCGGUAACACGUAGGGCGCAAGCGUUGCUCGGAUUUACUGGGCGUAAAGGGUCCGUAGGCGGGACUGUAAGUCGGGUGUGAAAUUUCGGAGCUUAACUCCGAAGCUGCGCUCGAUACUGCAGCCCUAGAGUACAGAAGAGGAGAGUGGAAUUCCCGGUGUAGCGGUGGAAUGCGUAGAUAUCGGGAGGAAUAUCGAUGGCGCAGGCAGCUCUCUGGUCUGUAACUGACGCUGAGGGACGAAAGCGUGGGAAGCAAACA
rnacentral:rRNA from 1 species